UACGGAAGGCAGCAGUGGGGAAUAUUGCACAAUGGGCGAAAGCCUGAUGCAGCUAUGCCGCGUGUAUGAAGAAGGCCUUAGGGUUGUAAAGUACUUUCAUCGGGGAGGAAAAAACAAAACUAAUAAUUUUAUUUCUUGACGUUACCCGAAAAAGAAGCGCCGGCUAACUCCGUGCCAGCAGCCGCGGUAAUACGGAGGGUGCUAGCGUUAAUCAGAAUUACUGGGCGUAAAGAGCACGUAGGUGGUUUUUUUAAGUCAGAUGUGAAAUCCCUGGGCUUAACCUAGGAACUGCAUUUUGAAACUGAAAUACUAGAGUAUCGUAGAGGGAGGUAGAAUUCUAGGUGUAGCGGUGAAAUGCGUAGAUAUCUGGAGGAAUACCUGUGGCGAAAGCGGCCUCCUAAACGAAUACUGACACUGAGGUGCGAAAGCGUGGGGAGCAAACAGGGAUUAGAUACC
rnacentral:rRNA from 1 species